GAUGAAGAACGCAGCGAAAUGCGAUAAGUAAUGUGAAUUGCAGAAUUCAGUGAAUCAUCGAGUCUUUGAACGCACAUUGCGCCCCCUGGUAUUCCGGGGGGCAUGCCUGUCCGAGCGUCAUUGCCGCCCUCAAGCACGGCUUGUGUGUUGGGCCCCCGCCCCCCGGCUUCGGGGGGCGGGCCCGAAAGGCAGCGGCGGCACCGCGUCCGGUCCUCGAGCGUAUGGGGCUUCGUCACACGCUCUGUAGGCCCGGCCGGCGCCCGCCGGCGAACCCAAUCAAUCUUUCCAGGUUGACCUCGGAUCAGGUAGGGAUACCCGCUGAACUUAAGCAUAUCAAUAAGCGGAGGA
rnacentral:misc_RNA from 1 species